CUGCAAGCUUUCAAAUAUGCUUCUGACAACGACCUAUAAAAAUGGUUCCGCCGAUUCGCUUUGAGUUAGUUUUAAUUUACACUCUGAGUUAUUCGCCGAUUUAGUGAGACAAAGCCAAUAGGAGACAUUUUUAACCAAAAUGCUCAAAAAUCUUUUCAUAAUCUUUGCAGUUUUCACUGUAUUCUUCGCAGUAGCAAUGUGUCAGCCAGUAGUAAUAUCCCUUCUAAAAUUAGAUCCGGACUUCUCGUCUACAACUCCACAUUAUAAAACACACAUAAUCAACAAACAUGUUCACAAAGCAACCACCGAAAAACCUGAUGAUCCAAUAACUUAUGAAACACACAUAUUUAGGCAUCAUAAUAAACACCAAAAAAUCUGACAAUGAAUAUGCAACACAUAUUUUCAACCGUAAUUGAAUGAAAUUGAUGAGCCAUACGAUGUACAUUCAGAGAUAGAUUGCUGAAAAUAUGCUUGCUUCGACUAAGUUUUUGUGUAGUGUACUACAGAAAAAUUGAAUAUACAAUAAAUUCCAUCGCAAAACGAAAAAAAAAAAUUAUAGAAAUGAAAAUAAAAGAAAUUGUGCAAAAACAAUGUGUGACAUACUUGACCCCAACGUUUGAUUGCAUAUUUAUUUUUGACACGCAAAUUUUUCUUAUCAAUCCAACUACCCAAAACAGAAAAAUCCCAUCGGUUAUCUCUAUCAUUUGAUUACAUUGCCUUUCAUUCUCAUUCUCAUUCUCUUCUCUUCUCUCUCUCUCUCUCUCUCUCUCUCUCUCUCUCUCUCAAAUCUUGUUCCUCGAUUCAAACAAUAUUGAAAUGAUUCUCUGCGAGUGACGUUUCUAUAAUCGUUGUGAAAACAUUUUCGCUACACAUUUGGUCCCGAUCAGUUAUAAUUUAUAUUUUGAACGAAGUGUUUUAAGUGAAUGAAAGCCAGCCAAAAAAAAAGUUUAUUGAUCAUGUCGAAAAGUUGUUUGGUUAGUAAAGAGUAAUCAUUGUUUUAUCAAAAUUUAGAGCGUUCAAUCAUAAAAUAUUAAUGUGAAAUUUUGCGAACGAAUAAAAGAAACAUUUGAAUUUUGGCUCAUUGAAAUUAAUUCAAACUUUGUUUGCAGUUGUUUUUGAUCAUUUUAGUGGCGUGUUGCGCGGCCAUUUCUGGCAUUAUAUAUUAUUUCGGAUUUAAUAACGAAUCAAUUCCUGACUAUGAUUCAUCGUCAGCUCUGCCGGAAAUCACUGAUGUGCCUUCAGUUAGAGGACCUUUAGGUGCCUUCAGUUACGAUGAAGAUCGUGGAUUGAAAACGCAGAUAUUUGGUCGCAAAUGGUAUACGACCGAAAAAGAGGAAUCGCAUACAACUACCAAUGGAUAUGACGAACGUGACGAUCUAUAUUCGAGUACGCCAAAUGAUGAGCAAACACAAUUGUUGAAUCAGAAACAUGUAACCACAGAAAACACUGAAGAUAUAACGACUACAAUGGGAACUGAUUAUGCGGAAAAUGAAUAUUCUCCGACUAAAGCAACCCAAGUAUAUGAAACGCACAUUUUUAAUCAUAAAAUGCAUCAUACAACCACCGAGGAAACGGAAAGUGAUGAAUAUGAUUCAAAUUCGAAAACUUCGACUGAGGAAUACGAAACGGGUCGCGCUUCAAAGCCAUCUGAAGGUCAUUAUGGCUGGGGACUACCAACAUCCACCGGAAAAUUUGAAGAAUAUGAUACAGAUUCAGAUGCAGAUACAUCUUCAUACGACAGUGACGAUUAUUAAAAUUGAGACGUACGACAAAAAUGUGAUUAAUUUGAAUAAAAUAGUGAAACACUGCAUGAAAUACAUACCCAUAUCUUGUUUGAAUUUGAUUAUUUAGAAGUAUUUAGACAAACAGUCGCUUAAUUUGAAUUUGAUUUGAAAUAUCAGUUGUCAUAUUUAGAGAACAGUUUGUUUGAACCUUAAAAUGUGAUUAAAUCCCUUGUGCGCAUAUGCACAUCGCCAAACGACCCACGAUAGAAGCUGAAUAUUGAUAUAAAAUAAUCAACUUAUCCUCCAUUGACCUUGAUUCUUUUUUGGCUUCAGAAAGCAAUUAUUUUUAUUUGCAAAAAAAAAACAUUACGAAUCUGGCAAAAACGAUCAUCAUCACUGGUGUACAUUGUACAAUUUGAUAAUUACACAAAAUUAGUACAAAUUUGACUGGUUUUGAUCAGUUUGAAUCGACUUUUCGAGUGAAAUAGUCUAAAUUUUCGGAGGUGAAGAAGGUCUUAGCAAAUAAAUAAACGCAAAAAGUUGAAAAAAUGGGCAAAACUUGUUUGAUAACAACUAUUCUUUUGGCCGUUAUCUUGGCAACUUUAAUUGGUAUAAUGAUUUAUAGUAAAGUCCAUCAAGAUAUGACACCACAACCAUUCCCACAAUAUGCACCACCACCACCACAACCACAACAAUCUGCGCAACGUGAUUGGUGAUGGGAGCUACUUUUUUCGCCGAAAAAACUUGUGAAUUUGUUCCGAAUAUAAGAGGUACACACUACAUAAUGUAAAGUCUACAUGAACUACUUACCAGUUAGUAUCAUUAUCGAAAUCAAUUGAAAAAAAGAGUUUAUGAAAAAGGCGACUGAUUUCUGUGUAAUUAUAUAAAAUUAAAUUACAUGAAAUUACAUUCAAUAUAAUAAAAACAAUGUCUAAGAACGUGAAAAUGUACCAAAAAAUGGCUGUUUUUCGUUUCAUCGCGCUGCUAUAUUAUUCAACGUUUGGAAUACUGUAUUCUGCCACCGGGUGAAGUUUUGUGCAAACCAAUCAACUCGCCAGCGAGAUGAUGCGUAUGAAAAUUGAUUGUCCAAAGAAAAAUACGCAAUAAUUACAAAUUAAAUUACUAUGGUCGUCGUUGGUUGUUGUUUUUUGUGCCAUGAUUUGAUUGUAUAUUCGUUGUUAGCCUUGGAAUGAAUCCAUUGGUGUGUGUGUUUUUUGUUGGGGUCGUUGAUGGCUAUUUCUCCAGCCAUAAAAUAAGGUGUUUCGAUUGCAUUAUCAUAAUGCAUCAUAAUUUGGGCCCAUAUAAGCAAAUUUUAUGGCAAAUAAACCAUAUGAUUAAGACAAUGCGAAUUUGUGCUUUUUUUCUCUGCCAGCGAUUCAUUACAGCCAAUGAAAGGCAAGGCAACAUUGUAGACCGUAUUACAGCCAGAGACGAAUUUAUUAGUUGGUUGAAUACGUGCACAGUGCACACAUCCAUCCAGCUGGAAUGAGUGUAUAAUAAGUUCAUCAUAUUAUUAUAAUUUUUUUUAACUCGACUUUUAAUGUUAUACGCGCAUCCAAACGCACAAGCAAUAAGAGAAUGGAACGAACGAUGUUUGCACAGCCGUCACGAUCUGAGCUAGUUGAAGAAGAUGAACGAAAAAUACGGCGAACCAAACCAAAGUUAAAUAGGAAAUUAAUAUAAUCACACGUAUUUGUUUCAGUGGAAUGUAAUUCUUUGAUGCGAUAAUAAGAGUCGAUUAUCAGUAAUUUAUAUACACGUAUAAGUAGAGAUUUUAAUUUGCGCCCCAUUUCCAUCGUGUAUUUUAUGACAAUCAAAAUUGCAGCUACUAUAAAAUUAUGCUCCUGAUAGGCUGAUACAUAGUGCUUUAAAACAAAUUAAUGACGUCAAUUUUCGUUAGUGUUUGGCAAUUAGUUUUCGGGUUGUAUGUGCAGUUGUGGCAAAUGGAAUACAGAGUUCGGUGGCAGUCGACAAGAGUCAGCUAUCUCGUUAUCAUUGAUAUUCGCCGGUUUGGUUUUUGCAUUUUGUUUUAUAGCCAAGUUUUUAAUAGCGGAUGUCCGUGUGUAAUAAUUUUUAUUUAUGACGCUAUGGCGCAUUUCAGAUCCAGCCGCCACUUUUUUUUGUGUGUGUGCAUAAAUGACUUCAACUCAAAGACUCAUGUGUUGUGUGCCAAAGCACUACAAAACAUUAACGUGAUGUAAAAAAGAGAGAGUAAAUACGAUGAUCGUAACGUGUGAUACAGCCAUUAGAUUUUAGACAUUCCUUUCACCAUAAAUCAAAUUCUUAUCAAUGAUUCAUGCAUACCGUGUGCUCGUUUACCAUUUUCCACCAGCCAAAUGAGCCGGUUGCUGUUUGAAAAAUUGAUUUUGUUGCAAAACAAUCGGCAAUACGCGGCAAUGUUAAUGGCAAAAGAAGAAUGUUUGUAAUAGACACAUGCUAGUGAUAACCCAUGCACCGUUAAAUGAGUAUUCAUUUCGUAGACAACAACAAAUGAAAUCGUUGUUUUUUUUUAUGGAAAUACCCAUCAAAUUUGCACGCAAUUAUUUGACCCAUUGACGCACAUUGUGGAAUUGAAUUUUAUGAGCCACUUGAUUUAAAUUCAAAACAACAGCGAAUUCCAAGCGUCGAUUUUAUUUCUUAUGAAAAGUCGUAAAAUUUUGACUUGUCUCAAAAAAUGGCCACACACACACACACAUCUGCACUGAACUGUGUUCAUUUUUCUUUCAAUCAACACAAAAUGAGAUUUUAAUAAAUAACGAUCGAUACAAUGUAGCGAAUUUAAAUGAAAUUUACAUAUUUAAACAGUAAUAAAAAGACUGGCAACGAUGAUGAUGGAGAGAGAAAAAUACACACAAAAUUUCAACCAUUUGUAUGUUAUGAAUUAAUAGCCCGAUAUAAUAUAUGCCGUCAACGGAUGAAAAAAAAAAAACAUGUUCAAGGCAUAUUUAUGAAUAAGUAAUUUAAGGUGCAGGUAUCCGACAUGACGUUGAUAAUACCAUUUAUAAUUAGAAAAUUGAGCAUGUGUAAUCGCUAUAAAUUAUGUUUUAAUAAAAUAAUCAACUCGUUUUAA